rnacentral:rRNA from 1 species
GAUGAACGCUGGCGGCGUGCCUAAUACAUGCAAGUCGAGCGAAUGGAUUAAGAGCUUGCUCUUAUGAAGUUAGCGGCGGACGGGUGAGUAACACGUGGGUAACCUGCCCAUAAGACUGGGAUAACUCCGGGAAACCGGGGCUAAUACCGGAUAACAUUUUGAACCGCAUGGUUCGAAAUUGAAAGGCGGCUUCGGCUGUCACUUAUGGAUGGACCCGCGUCGCAUUAGCUAGUUGGUGAGGUAACGGCUCACCAAGGCAACGAUGCGUAGCCGAACUGAGAGGGUGAUCGGCCACACUGGGACUGGGACAGGGCCCAGACUCCUACGGGAGGCAGCAGUAGGGAAUCUUCCGCAAUGGACGAAAGUCUGACGGAGCAACGCCGCGUGAGUGAUGAAGGCUUUCGGGUCGUAAAACUCUGUUGUUAGGGAAGAACAAGUGCUAGUUGAAUAAGCUGGCACCUUGACGGUACCUAACCAGAAAGCCACGGCUAACUACGUGCCAGCAGCCGCCGCGG